rnacentral:rRNA from 1 species
CCAAGCUUAAUGGCCGCGGUAUUUUGACCGUGCAAAGGUAGCAUAAUCAUUAGUUUAUUAAUUGUAAGCUGGAAUGAAGGAUUGGAUGAAAAUUAAACUGUCUUUUUUGUAUAUUUUAGAAUUUUCGAUUUCAUUGAAAAUGAUGAGAUAAGUAUAAGGGACGAGAAGACCCUAUAGAGUUUUAUAUAGGAUGUUAAUUUAGUUUUGUUGAGGUAAUAUAUUUAAUUGGGGUAAUUUAUUAAUAUUUGAAUUUAAUUAAUUAGGACUAUAUCAGAGGUCAAGAGAACUAACAAUAAUUUAAGAUUAAAUUACCUUAGGGAUAACAGUGUAAUAUAAUUUAGAGUUCGCAUUAAAAAUUAUGAUUGCAACCUCGAUGUUGGAUUAAGGAAG